AUGAAAGAAUUAGAUGUGAGGUUGGAAGGCCAAAAGGAUGGUGGCUAAUAGACUUAAAAGGGAUUUAGUGCGAUCGUUUAUUAUAACUGAUGAAGUAGAAAGACAAGACCAGGCCAGAAGGUAGCUCAUCUCCCAUCCCACUCUUGAGGUUACUCAGUUGGUUUUUUUUUUUUUCUUUUUCACAAUUCCGCCCAUCUGAUUUUCCUUAUAAAAAUGGAAACGCAUGAACCAACAGAGAAAUAGUAGUUUAUUUUAAAUUUAUAGGAUAUUUCCAUGAUCCAUAAAACUUUGAGACAGAGAAUUGCAAAUUCAAAGUAGAACAGCCUCCCCCCACCUCCCCCCCCGCGUGCCCCCAGCCUGCCAAGUCGGUAAGACUAAGUACUUCAAACUGUUAGUUUUCAUACAUCACUGGACUCGAAUAAGCCUUUAAACGUUAAUACUUAAGUUAAAUGCUAGCCGUGGGGGACAGAAUUGGUGGUUUCUAAUAUCAUGAAAAUGCGCGUGCUUGCUUUCUGUCCACACACAUGCAUAGAUAUGUACACAUAAUUUCUAGUGUGUAGCAUGUACAGUAUGAUUAAGGGAUAAGCAUGUUUUCCUGAUCAUCCCAUUUCCAACCAAACACGCAUUUACAGCAGUCAUCUUGUCACCAUUUGAAAGAACGUGGUCAGAAAAGUAGUACCCAAACUGCUACUUUGGUUUUGUCUGUACCUUCCUUACAGGUUCAUACCUCACUUCCUGACACAAACAAGUUUUUACUGUUGUCAGCAACAAAGCCCUAAUAUAGCUGCGGAAGAGAAAAACUGCGUUGCAUUCUGCCUCUUGAGAGCAUCAUCAACAGUUACCGGAGGAAUGUAAUUCCAGAAAGCUCCGAAACUGGUGGUGAUGGGAAUUAUGGAACAAAUGCCCGAUUCUAUUUGUUGUUAUUGUCUGGGCAUUUCUAUUCUACCAGCGAUCUGCGAGAGAGAGAGCUCACUGAGGGGGGCAAAUCUGGUUUUUCUUUUUGACUUUGUAAAAUUUAAUCAGGCCUGAGAGGAAACUCACAGCUCUCUGGAGAAAAUAAAGUAGGAACCACGAAAUGUCAUUUUAACAGAGCGUGGGUUUGGUGACUGCAGGAAAGGAUUUAAGGACGCUCCUGUUCCGUUUGCUGUGUAAUGAGCACCGGCUCCACGCACGCACCGACGCCACAGCUCCCGGAUGCAGUGGCCCCCUUAUCUAGGCUUCUGCAGCGCCACAAGCCCCUUCGGGAUGCUGCGAGGGGCUCCCGGUGGGUGGUGGUACAAACGCUGCGGCCGCCGCCGCCGCCGCCGCCGCCGGUCCUGCUGCUGUUGUUGCUGCUGCUGCAGUCACGUGGGAGCCCCUUUAAGUUUCCAUAGAGAGGCCUCUCCGGUGUCACAUGAUGGACAUGAUAUAAUGAAACAACAUUGUGGAGAGGAAAGCAUUAGGGGAGCCCACGGCUACAAAAAACAAGUGAGUGAGAAGAGGUGGGAGAAAAAGAAACUACGCCACCUCCCCUGCAGCCGAGCGCACGCAGCAGCCUGGCGUGACAAGUGGGCGACGCCGGGGGCAGGGAGUGGGGGGUCCUCGGCCCGCUCCGGGGACCCUGUUGCCCACCGUGCGCAGAGCAACUUUUAACCGGCAGCCCCGCACCUGUCUCCGAGUCUCCACCGCUCCCCGCGACCAUCCUGGGAAAAUUCUAGAAGAAUACGCUCUCGGAAUCUACGUGCGCAUCAUUUUCCUCCUCGCUCCGGGAGGAAGGAACCAGAAAGCAAGCAGAGCGGCGUCAUGUUCAGACCAUCGAGCCUCCGUGCAUCCCAGGGAUGGUGUCCUCUACUGGAGGGUUUCUGCCUCACUUAACUUUCGGGAGCCUUUUAACUGCCUUCUGUUGCUUCUGCGGGUAGAAGACUUGGGCCAGCUAGAGUCUGCAGUGUCUCUGCCUUCUGACCUGCCCUCGCUGAGUACUGGUUUACAGGAGGGUUUGAGCACAGCUCAGAGCCACUGGUUGCGCAAAUGUCUGACUCCAGUAGCUCAGGAAGACGGACUGUUAAGCAAGAUGGGAAGUCAGCCUGCAAGCUGGAAGUGAGAGCUCACUUGCAGUUUCCCUUCAGCCAGGAGGUUCCCUAGGCAGCCACGGAAGCAGUCAUUAAAGAUGAGCAACUAAAAGGCGGAAAAAUGGCAGCAACCUAGGCCCUUUUAUCGGAACACAGUGAACCACCAAACAUUAGGUAUGGACACUCAGUGACUUCUGGUUACCUACCCUGCCUUCCGCCGCAGCCACCGGUCGGCAAGUGACCAGUUGAAAGGACCAGCCUGCUCCUCCAGGAACACGUGACAGAGGUCAAAGGUGUGUGGGGGAGAAGAUGAGGCAGCAGAGUGGAGAGUGACUGUCUAGACUUGGUGACAAACAGGCCUGACUCGGUGAGGAUGAAGGUCAUCCAGAGUUGAUCACAGUUGGUUGGAGUUUGAAGCCAGUUGGCUCUGUAGACCUCACUCACCGAGCUCACUGACCUGGAAGAGCGUGGUCUCGUGGAGGAAGGGGUUCAUUAGGAGGGAGGAAGCUUCCUUCUCUGUUCUGGGACCUAUGAGAGAACUGACUUGUUUGUGCACAGAGGUUACAGGGAGGGCAGUCUGGGGACCACAUGCCAUCACUGAACAUUGGGCACCAAAAGGAAUUUCCUCUACCUUGGAAAUGCCAGAGGGAUGCUUCUAUGUGACAGCGCCAUCCAGGAGCCUCCUCCACAAGGCCUUGGGAUGUUCCUGGGCCCCGGGAGUUAAAAGGCAAAGGCUUCAGCAGGCAUGGGUUUGUUUAUCUUACCUUUCUCAAGUUGAAGCCAAUAUUCUUAAUGGUUUUGAAUGGUUCAGAAGUCUCCUUUUCUUUUUUUUUUUUUCAGCAGAACAGUUUUUCAGGCAUGGGCUAAAACUUCUUUAGGUGAAGUUCAAGCAAAAACCAGCCUCACACUUAAUGUCAUUUAGUAGAACCGUCGUUUUGGAGCAAAUGAAAACCAGCUUGCUUACUUCAGACAAAGGCCGGCAUCGAGAGGCUUGGGCCUGCCAGGGGUCAUGGAUCUGGGAGAGGAGCCAGUCCCAGACAGGCCACUGGGUUUGGAGCCUGGGACUCCCAGUCCAAACCACAGAAGAGGUUCCUGCCUGUCCUUGGCUUGUGCUGGAAGAGACAGCUCACCCUUUGAAGAAUAUUCUGGGUGGAAAAGGAAAGUCUUGUUCAAUACAAAGUGGAACAGAUAUGUGUGUGCUAUAGGUAGGCUUUUUAAAAACCUGUGAAAGAUUUACUCAUGUGUUACACAUUUGUUAGCUCUUGGAGAGAGAGAGAAUGAGUGUUUAAUGUCUAUCUGCCAGAAUCGGACCUCACAUACCUUUGUGGGGUUUCCCCUUUAGAUGAGAACUUAUAUCACAAUAGUUUUUAAUAAAACAAACCUUCCCACAGGAGAAAGACUUGGGCAAUGUUCUGAGACCAUGAUUUACUGCAGGCUCUGAGUGGACGUCACAUUCAGAAGAUGCUCUGAGCACUUGGAAGUGACCCCUGGGGGAGAUGGGGCCGAGGGGGAAAUCGUGAGAAGUGGGUGGGUUGAGGGUAUCUUAGGGAGAGCGGAUGACUCGCCCCUUGCUGUCAGCUGAGGCCUCAGGGAGGUGACCUCCAGGAGGAAGGGCUCAUUUCCUCAUAAACCUAGGACCAGCUGCCCCUGCUGUGUUGGGGAACAGGCAGCACAGGCGGUAAUGGACAGGCCCCAGGAGACACCAGACCACAUGCCAAGCCACACCAACCAGGGACCGCCUGCACACCGUGUCCCCGGGAGGACGUGAGCCCAUGUCCUGCACCCACAGCACGCUGGCACUCGGCCACCAACGUUUUUUCAUGAUCACGUGAGACAGCGUGAUGCUGCCUUUAUUUAUAUAAGGAUGGUAACCUGAGCCAAGAGAUUAAACGAUUUGUCUAAGGAGAAAGUAAAGUCAAAGGCAUGGGAUUUGCACCCAAAUCUCUGCCAUGAAGCCCUCCUGUGAGUAAAUCCUGGGCACGUCCUCCUAGGUAGAACUUAAAAGCGCUGUCACUCCUGACUUAGUUCUUAUUGCGAAGCUUGCAUUCCCUGGAGCAGGUGCACCCAGCUGGUCAGCAUAGAGGGGAGGCUCUCCCCCGCAGCUGUCCUUUGCUAGAGUGAUGCUCGGAGCGAACCCAUGGAAGGGAUGUGGAGGGAGGCCAUCCUGCUUAGUUCCUAGCAUCAUUCUGGAAAAGAGUAACAGUGCCCCUGCUCCCAGAACCUAUACUGUCAAAUGUCUAAGAUGGGCAAUCUAUUUUAAGAUUUUAUUUUGAAAGAAAGACUUGAACUGAAAAAGAGCAUGGCAAAGUGAGCUACCAGUGUGUCCGUGGCGGCCUUUCCUGGAAUCCUUCCUGGAAGCAGGUUUUGUCAGACAACAGAGAUAAUAUUGUCACAGUAGUAGUCAUCCAGAGAUAAAAUUGUCACAGUAGUAGUCAUCCGACCGAAAUCUCCAUGGUUUUUGUUUGUUUGGUGUGUUGGUGUUUCUAAGCCAGAAGAGGGUGUUGGAUCCCUUGGAGCUGGAGCCCUAGGCAGUAGUGAGCCACCUGACUUGGUGCUGGGAACCAGACUGCAGGCCUCUGAGAAAGUAGCCAGUGCUCUUAACUGCUGGGCUGUCUGCAGCCUCUCCCCGGGAUUUUCAUCUCUUUCCCUAGAGCAGGGCCUCAUCAUCACCGUGUCCUUCGGGGUAGACAGACCCAUGCCAGUGAGUGAGGUUUGGGGCUGCUGACCUAACUCCUUCUGCCUUCUGUAAGGAGUCGGAACGGGACAGGGCUGACGUUGGGAUGGAGGACCUUCUGCCUUCUGUAAGGAGUCGGAACGGGACAGGGCUGACGUUGGGAUGAAGGACCUUCUGCCUUCUGUAAGGAGUCGGAACGGGACAGGGCUGACGUUGGGCUGGAGGACCUUCUGCCUUCUGUAAGGAGUCGGAAUGGGACAGGGCUGACGUUGGGAUGGAGGACCUUCUGCCUUCUGUAAGGAGUCGGAACGGGACAGGGCUGACGUUGGGAUGAAGGACCUUUAGAGGCUGUGCUUCCGUCUCCUCCCUCUCCAGGCAAACCAGACUGCAGGCGGAUGACAGCUGAGCGCUGUUCAGUGAGGCCUCCAGGGAUGUGCUGUCCCAGCCACCCUGGGACACUGCAAAGGGAUUGACCCUACCAUUUACUCUGACCCUUACCGCUGUGUGGGACAAGGAGCAGCAUGGCAUGCAUACCCCUGGGAACACUGACCCAGGCCCCCAGUUAGUCCUGAGCUGUGUCCUCUGUCACAGUGUCUGCCCCCUCUCCUGUGUCAUCUGCGGUGUCUUCUGUCGCCCUAUCACCCCAGGGUGGCUAGCACCAUGUGACCGUGUUGCAUUGCUGCUGACUAAUCUAUCUCCAAAGACGUGGCCUGCCCCUCCCGUGUGCGUGGCUUAGAGGGGCUGGCACCUCUCCCUUUGCACUGUUUAUAACUGACUUGUGCUGGCCUCAUUCCUCCCGCCCCUGGAUUUCCAUGCAGGCCGUGAAGGGUGGGGGGGCCUGAGUGGGCGGCCUGAAAUGGCCAGAAUACCUCAAUCUGUUACCGAUCUUAAUCUCUUGCACCCAAUUCUUGAUCUCUUGUUUUGACAUUUUUGGCCUGGCCUUGACCUCCAGAGAAACCUCCAGACCGGCCCACAGUGUUUGGUUACGAAUGCCCAAUCCUAUUGUAGUCUUUCCCCAAGCUUAACAUCCUGAUUGUAUGUGGAGACGGUCUGGAUAUGUUAUCUGAAAUGUUAGGUGUGCCGUCCACUCACUUCAGGAAAGGGAGGCGUUUAUUGAAAGCUCUCCAG